rnacentral:lncRNA from 1 species
CUUGAUCCCUGGGAGAAAAUAAGGACACGGAGCUCUGGAGAGCACAGAAUAAAGAUUCUCUCCAUCCCGAUGAGCUCCGCCCUCCUGCCCACCUGCCUGCUGGGAAGGGGACCACUCACUUAUCCAGCUUGUGGAUCUGCUCCUCAUUGUAGCUGAGCCCUGAAGGAAACAGAUGGGGAUGGCGUCACCACUCAACUAGUCCGGGAACCAAGUUAAAAAGACGAAGAACAGCCUAGGGUGGGGACCAUUUUAUGGGAUCUCAGGCCUAGGGGAGGCCGCAAGGAUGAGGAAAUGGAACAUCAAGUAACUAUGACAACAUUGCUGUUGUGGACAAAAGACUGAAUAUGAUUUUGGUAUAAAGGAGCUGAGGAGAAAUGCUUUGGGGCUCCAGAGCGAGGCGAAUCCUGCUGGGUGGGCAGGAGAUGUUGCAGGUGGGAACGCUGGGUGAGAUGAUAGCGCAGCUUCGGCCCUGUAUCCUCCACCUUCCCCAGCUGGCAGCUGGUUGGCUCCAUCCCUGGAGUCUCUCACAGGUAGGCCAGCACCUUCUAACUGUCCCUCUUUGCCCAGCAACUUUUUUUCAGAAGGAACAACUUUGGGUAGAAGUGCCCUUGCCUAGAUAGAGGCUACUGCAGACAACCUUAAAGCUCUUGCAAUGA